rnacentral:rRNA from 1 species
CCUACGGGUGGCAGCAGUGAGGAAUAUUGGUCAAUGGACGAAAGUCUGAACCAGCCAUGCCGCGUGCAGGAAGACGGCUCUAUGAGUUGUAAACUGCUUUUGUACAAGGGUAAACCUGAAUACGUGUACUCCGCGGAUAGGACGGUACGAAUAAGGAACGGCUAACUCCGUGCCAGCAGCCGCGGUAAUACGGAGGUUCCAAGAGUUAUCCGUAUUUAUUGUGCGUGGGGGGUGCGUAGGCGGUUUGAUCAGGUAGGGGUGAAAUGUCCGGGCUUAACUCGGGAACUGCCUCUAAUACUGUUGGUCUGGUGAGCAGAUGCGGUAGGCGGCAUGUAUGGUGUAGCGGUGAAAUGCUUCGAGAUCAUACAGAACACCGAUUGCGCAGGCAGCUUACCAAUCUAUAUCUGACGUU